AUUUAAAGUAUGGCCUGCCACUGAAUUUUAAGGGCCGCAGUAUUUUGACUGUGCUAAGGUAGCAUAAUCAUUUGUUUUUUAAUUGAAAACUGGAAUGAAAGGUUUAAUGAAAUAUAAACUGUCUCUUUAUAAAAAUAUUAAAAAUUUAAAUUUUAAGUUAAAAUGCUUAAAUUUUUUUAAAAGACGAGAAGACCCUAUAGAUCUUUAUAAUUUUAUUUAUUUAAUAAUUUAUUUUUAUAAAUUUUAAUUAUAAUAAAUUUAUUUAAUUGGGGUGAUUUAAAAAUUUAUAAAACUUUUUAAUUAUAAAACCAUUAUAUUUGAUAAAAUGAUCCUUUAUUUAAGAUUAAUAAAUUAAGUUACCUUAGGGAUAACAGCGUAAUUUUUUUGGGGAGUUCAUAUCUAUAAAAAAGAUUGCGACCUCGAUGUUGAAUUAAAGUUUAUUUUAGGAGUAGAAAUUUAAAAUUUUAGUCUGUUCGACUAUAAAACUUUACAUGAUCUGAGUU
rnacentral:rRNA from 1 species